CAUAGCAAGUGACACUACAAUGCUGCUGAAGGCAACACACACACACACACAUCCUCCACAGCCUCCAUUCCUGGCACAUCAUCUCUGGAGGAAAAAGCAAGAGAACCGCUGCAUGAAAAAUCAAAGGAAACAAAAGCUGGCAGUUGGCAAGGCAGAGCAACCCAAUUCCAUGAGCCACCUCCAUAAAGUCAGCACUUGCAAAGUUCUCUGUGGACAAUUGAAUCCUACCAGAUCCACGCCUUCAGCAGAAACAGUGGUUCCUCUUGGUAUUUAGGAAACUAGAAAACACAGACACUCUAAGCCAAGCCAACCUGGGUGAGUCAAGAUGAGCCACGACUUACAAGACACCAUCGAGGACUUCAAGCUCGUGAUGGAGGAAAUGGAGAAGAAAGUGACUGCCAUGAAGGAGAGGACGGAUGAGGCGUACAGGAAGAUCAACCAGCUGGAAGCCCAGAAGUAUUCCCUGAUGGAUACCAACGAACAGCUCAGCCAGGAACUGCAAAACCUCUCCUAUCAGGUCUCUCUGUACGAGGACAGGAGAAAUUCUUCAGAAAAGAUUGCUCAGCUGCCCAAGAAAAAGGAAACCUUUGCCGUUCGGAGAUGAAGCAGGUGGAGGAGAAAACAAAAGAAAAUCCGGUGAUAACAUUUUGCAAAGAAAGAACGCAAACAACUACUGGAAUAAAGGAAAAGCAAAAGCCAAGAUCACCA